rnacentral:rRNA from 1 species
UACGUAGGGUGCAAGCGUUGUCCGGAAUUAUUGGGCGUAAAGAGCUCGUAGGCGGUUUGUCGCGUCUGCUGUGAAAUCUGGGGGCUCAACCCCGGACUUGCAGUGGGUACGGGCAGACUAGAGUGUGGUAGGGGAGACUGGAAUUCCUGGUGUAGCGGUGGAAUGCGCAGAUAUCAGGAGGAACACCGAUGGCGAAGGCAGGUCUCUGGGCCAUUACUGACGCUGAGAAGCGAAAGCAUGGGGAGCGAACAGG